AACGCACAUUGCGCCCGCCAGUAUUCUGGCGGGCAUGCCUGUUAGAGCGUCAUUUGUACCCUCAAGCUUUGCUUGGUGUUGGGCGUCUUGUCUCCAGUUCGCUGGAGACUCGCCUUAAAGUAAUUGGCAGCCGGCCUACUGGUUUCGGAGCGCAGCACAAGUCGCGCUCUCUUCCAGCCAAGGUCAGCAUCCACAAAGCCUUUUUUCAACUUUUGACCUCGGAUCAGGUAGGGAUACCCGCUGAACUUAA
rnacentral:misc_RNA from 1 species